CAUAAUUAUCUCCCCCUCCUCUUCUACCUCCCUCUUUCUCUCUCUAGUUUCUCUCUCUAAAAAUUCUCCAAACACCCUACUUUGUAAGUGGAGAAAUUUGUGGUGGAGGAAAUUAAUCUCCAAUUUCAAGCAAAAAAAAAUAAUAAUAAAAAUUACAUCUUUAUUUAUUUAAAGAAAAAAAUUGGUAAAAUUUAUGUGACUCUGUUUUAUGAUUUCUCUCUCCAAUCAUCCCCAAGAAAGUAAUCUACUGAAUUGAUUGAAAUUGAAGAGAGAUCUCAAUUCUCUGACAGAUUUCCAGAAAAAAAUUUAAAUAAAGAUCAAAACUUUAUUCCAAAAAACUAUUGUUUUUAUAAUGUUUUCAAAGUUUGAGUUUUUUUUAUGUGAUGAAGAGAAAGUUGAAGGAGAGUGGGAGAAAGAAAGAUAGCUCAUUUUAAUCCAUUUUCCCCCUUUUUUACACACUUUUCACGCCAAACCCAAAAAAUUCCGCCACUUUUUUUUUCAGAAAUUCUAACAACUUUGACAAAUUUGAUCAACUUUUUCUCGUGCAGGGUUUGUUAGAAAGAUGUCAGCAGUGAUGAGCGAACCAAUGGCAGUAACAACAACCCAACAAGAAUCGUCAGCCCAAAAUGAAGUACAAUUCAUCAAAUGUGAAUGUUGCGGUUUAACCGAGGAAUGUACCCUUGCUUACAUUGAGAGGAUCCGACAAGGGUAUAUGGGUAAAUGGGUUUGCGGUCUUUGCUCAGAAGCUGUCGAAACCGAGGUUGAUCGCUCCGAGAAGCAUAUUAGCACCGAGGAGGCUCUCAAUCGUCUCUUGAAUGUUUGUAGGAGCUUCCGAUCAUCGUCCCCGCCUGCUGGCGGAGAUCCGACGAUCCACCUUAUUAGUGCCAUGCGCCAUAUCUUGCGCCGUAGCCUUGAUUGCCCGCGGGGGGGUCUUAGGUCCACCCCCGCGAGUCCUACUAGGGAAGCCCUUGACCAACGAAGGGCUAUUCUCUCUAGGUCCGAGAGUUGCUUCGCGGACCUUUGAGAGAUAUGAUAAUAAUAAUAAUUAUUAGGUGGUUCAAGAUCAACGUAAAUUGAUGGUGGAUGUUAUAACAUGGAAUGAUGGUGAUGUUUGGGAAGUGAAAUUAAUGUGUGUGUGACAUUGGAAAUGUUGGGUGAUUUUCGUGUCAAAUUGUACAAAAUUGAGAAUGCUAAUGGAAGAAAAUUUCGACUAAGAAACAAUUAAAGAGCAGAUAUAAAAAUGGUAAAGAUGAUGAAAAGAGGGAUUUAGAAGUUAUCGUUUGCUUAGGGAGAAAUGGUACAUUUGCCUUAACUAGCAUUAGCGUUACACCCUCCCCCAAGUAGUCUAGUUUGGUUUAUGCAAUUUUGUGUACAUAUCUAUAAAUAUUUUAAGUAUGUAAUAAAAUGAAUUCUGGUUCUAGAACUUGCUCUGCAUUUGGAGAAAUUUGGCUCCUUCAUCAAUUGGAAGUUGGAUUUUAAAUGUUA